rnacentral:rRNA from 1 species
UACGGAGGGGGCUAGCGUUGUUCGGAAUUACUGGGCGUAAAGCGCGCGUAGGCGGCUUUGUAAGUUAGAGGUGAAAGCCCCGGAGCUCAACUCCGGAACUGCCUUUAAGACUGCAUCGCUAGAACGUUGGAGAGGUGAGUGGAAUUCCGAGUGUAGAGGUGAAAUUCGUAGAUAUUCGGAAGAACACCAGCGGCGAAGGCGACUCACUGGACAACUGUUGACGCUGAGGUGCGAAAGCGUGGGGAGCAAACAGG